UUUUUCCCAGUAUUUUUUUCUCGCCCAUUCUGCGUUUAAUGAUAACCAAACGAACCCGAAAGUCCCAGGGGCGCAUGGAGUUACACCUCAGACAUCUGUACCUUUAGCGACACAGGCAGGUGUGGUGGUGUCGGCAGAUUGAAGCGUUUGUUAAACUAGACAGGCGAAAGUGGAUCCAUUACAGUGAGGAGGAGGAGAAGGGGCUUCGGGAGAACAGACGGGAACACUGACGUGACUGUAAUGCAAAUCCUGUGACAAUUCGGACACCACGGACCAUCUCCUCGAGGUCCUUUGGCCGUGGGUCAAGGAUUCUACAGCAUCUACAAGCAGAGAUGAAAGCAUAAUUUCCAGUCAAGAGUUCCCAGACACUCUCUGCAAAUGAUGCCAGUUUAAUUUGAAGGACCAGUCAUGGUGGAGUUAGGCAGCAUCUACGGAGAGGAAUAUACAGUCGACACGAAGGCCCAUUAGUGCUCUCGUUCCCACACCACUGCUGGUGGUCACCAUGACCAGCUUGUUCCCGACCAGCCAUGUGUUACUCCUUUCCGCACCAAGGUGGAACUUUGCAACAGGGGACUUCGUUUUAAGAAAAAACACACCAAGCAAAGAAAACCUCAUGAAAAUAAACAAAAGCAAGCACUGGAAAUCAUGCGAAUGACUGACCUGCUAAAUAAAAUCUGCAGAUAGCUUUCAGAACAGUAAUCGGGGCAAUUAAUUAAUUUUUGCAGAUUUGAUGUUUGUCAGUCUUUGUUAUGUGUGGUCUUUCCUGGUUUCUUCUGUAUUUCUUUGUGUACCUGUGGAUGCUGGCAAGAAAAUGAAUUUCAAGGUUGUAUAGGGUAUAAACACUUUUACUCUGAACUUUGAAUGCACAGCUCUUGGAUGAACUGGAGUUGGUCUAUCGGGUCUCAGCCGGAAACAUCAAGAUUUUAUUCCUCUCCAUAGAUGCUGCCUGACCUUCCGAGUUCGUCCAGCACUUGGUGCCUGUUCCUCGAGAUUUCUAGUGGCUGCAGAAUCUCGUUUAUUAAAUAAACAGUUUGCUCUUGUAGAAAGAACUUGCAUCUGUACAGCAACUUCAGUAAAAUGUUAUGUUUUAAAGUAUCUGCACAGUGAAGUAUUUUCUGAAGAGGAUCACCGUUGAAGGAAAGAAAUGUGGUAUACUUUCAGUUUCCGGCCCGAAGCGAACUAUUGUAGCAGUAUUUGAAUGUGCGAGUCAAACAUGCUCUGUAUUGAUAAGAAUAAUAUAUGCUUGAAUGCUCUAUGACUUAAUGAUCACAUGGUUAUUUUGGAUGAAGAAUAAAAGACUGGAAGACAUAGGGGCAGAAUUAGGCCAUCUGUCCCAUUUGAGUCUGCUAUUCCAUCGUGGCUGAUUUAGUAUUCUUCUCAACCCCCCUCUCCAGCCUUCCACCCAUACCUUUUGAUGCCCUUACUAAUGAAGAAGCUAUCAACCUUGCUUUAGAUAUAUACAGUGAUGUGGUCUCCGCAGCCAUCUGUAGCAAUGAACUCCACAGACUGAUCAUCCUCUGGCCAAAGCAGAGUUCCCCAACCUUAUUUUUUAUACCAUGGACCCCUACUAUAAACCAAGGGAUCCAUGGACCCCAGGAUGGGAACCUUGAGCUGAACACAUUUCUCCUUAUCUCUGUUCUAAAGAGACCUCCUUGUAUUAUCUGAGGCUGUGCCCUCUGGUCCUAGAAUUCUCCCCCUCUCUUCCCCGCCCCCCCCAGCAACACAUUAGAAACAUUCUCUCCAUAUCCACUUUAUCCAGGCCUUUCAAUAUACUUCAAAGACAUUCCCCUUCCUCCUAAACUCCAGGGAGUACAGACCCAAAGCCAUCAGACAUGCCUAAGUUAACCCUUUCAUUCCUGGAGCCAUUUUUGUGAACCUCCUCUGGACCUUGUCCAAUGUCAGUCGUUCAAUCAGGAAGAUUAGUUGCAAUCAGCAUUGGAGUUGCUGACCAGAUAUCGUGAUUUAGAGGCAAAAUUAGAAUAAAUUUCAGCUAGACUUAACAAAUGAGACAUGAACAGAUUUGAACGUCCUCCAGGUGCUAAUGGAUUGCCAAACUUUAUUUCUAGACCUGUGCAGUUCAUCCUUUGAGUUUUGUUCAUGCUUGCUGACCUUAAAUCUGUGAGAGCAUAUUGUCAGGAAGUUGUGCUGACUUCACUAUUUACCACUGCUGUCCUUGCUCGGGUUUUAAACUCGUGACUAAAAGGCAAGUUUCUUGCCCAAAUUCCACUAGGAAUAACAUCUGCCUGGAAGCAAGGCCUUUUUUCUGUAGGGAGUAAUUACAGGAAUAUUGUUCUGUGGACGAAAAGAGUUAAAAUAUUGAGCUGUGCUGCUAGGAUGAGAUUCUAACAGAUGCUGAUUAUUCAGUUCAUUGCUGGGGGUUGCAAAUUGGCUGCUGGAUUUCUUACAACAGGGGUACUUUAAAAGAUCAUUCAGACUUUUGUGGUUGCUGUUGGGUGAUUUUUAAAAAAAAAUCUAUUGAAAUACAGUGCAGAAUAAGUCCUUUCUGGCCCUUUGUGCCAUGACACCCAGUAAACCACCUAUUUAAUCAUAGCCUGAUCACAGGACAAUUUACAUGACCAAUUAAUCUAUUGACCAGUAGGUCUUUGGACUGUGGGAGGAAACUGGAGCACUUGGGGUGGGGGGGGGGUGGGGGGAAGAACCCAUGUAGUCAUGGUGAGAAUGAACAAAUUUUUUCAGAUAGCAGCAGAAAUUGAACCCAGGUUGCUGGUACUGUAGUGCGUAACACAAUGCUUUACGCUACUGUAGGGGAAGACAAAAUGUGUCUAGAUUUGUACGUAAGUGGCUUUGGGUGCAGACCAGUGACAUGAAACAUCCUUUUAACAUUGUUUCCCUUCCAAAAUGUCACUAAUUAGACAGAGAUGCUCUUUUGAAUGGAGUAGAAUGCAGGGGAAACUCAGAAGGAGGCACAAUGUAAGAUCAAUUUUUUUUUAGAUUAUGAAGACGAGCAGUCCUCUUUUAUUGUCAUUUAGUAAUGCAUGUAUUAAGAAAUGAUACAAUAUUUCCUCCGGUGUGAUAUCACAAAAUACAGGACAGACCAAGACUGAAAAAACUAACAAAACCAUAUAAUUAUAACAUAUAGUUACAACAAUGCAACAAUACCAUAGCUUGAUGAAGAACAGUCCAUGAGCACAAUAAAAAGUUCAAAGUCUCUCAAAUGACCCACAUCUCACGCAGACGGUAGAAGGAAGAAAAACUCUCCCUGCCAUGCCCGACCACAGUCCAAAUCUGAGUCAUCCGAAAACUUCGAGCCUCCGAUCAGCUCUCUGACGCCGAGUACUGAGCGCCAUCUCUGUCGGAGCGAUUUGAUCGCCAUCUCGGUCGCCAACAGCAGGCAAAGCCGGGGAUUUUAAGGCCUUCCCUCCGGAAGAUUCCCGACCGCACAGUAACAACAGCAGCGAACGAGCGUUUCAGAAAUUUCUCCAGACGUUCCUCUGUGCUUUUACGUCUGUCUCCAUCAAAUCAGAAUUGUCCACUGCCCCUAUUUAAUGGAUACAAUAUCAUUCUUCACCGGAGGGCUGCGCACGCACGGCACACUGCUGUCUCUCCUCCCGCCAUCAAACCCAUCUGGUGAUCAAUUGAAUCGCUUCAAAAGGUCAUACAACAGGUUAAAUUGUUUUGUUAGGAGUUUUUGCUUUUAAAUGAUUCUUAGCAUCAUGUCACUUUUGUUAAACAACAAAAUUAGAUCCAAGAUAAAUUGAAAGUGGACUGAAAUCAAGUGAGGACUUUGUGGUGUGUCUUGCCAUCGUACUGCAAGGAUCAGUCAGUCUCAACACCUUCCUCUGGUGCCUCUCCUUCCCUUUCACCUUUGGUCCACUCGUCUUUCCUAUCAGAUUCCUCCUUCUUCAGCCCUUUGUCUUUUCCUACCUAUCACCUCCCAGCCACACACACUAAUGCCUCUCCCACCCACCUACCUUCCCGCUCACCUGCCUUCACCAUUUGACUCCUAGCUUGUACUCCUUCCGUUCUGCCCCCUGUCCCACCUUAUCCUGGCUUCUGCCCCCUUUCCAGUCCUGAUGAAUGCUCUCGGCCUGAAAUGUCAACUCUUAAUUCCCUUCCCUAGAAGCUGCCUGACUUGCUAAGUUUCUCCAGCAUUUUGUGUGUAUUACUCAGUAGUAAAAAAAAAUCAUUUUAUGAGCUGUUUCAAAUUUUAGUCACAUGAUUUGUUCGAUCCGGUAGAAUCUCAUAAUUACGAUACAUCAGGGCUGAUACAUUUCGGCCCAAUUAAGCAGCUGCCUCAAGUAUUUUUUUUAAAAAACAAACUCUGUAAUAAAUUAUAUAUUUAAAUGAAAUGCAGAACAAAUUAAAACACUACCAGUACUACUACGGUACUAUGAAACUGUAUGUGUUUGUAAUCAAUGGAGGAAUUAAUCCACAUGUUCUUUUGAAUGUAAAUGAACAAAAUCUGCACAGACAUCUAGUGUCGAUAAUGGACUGCCUUCAUACAAUGCUUACGACAAUUGCAUCCUCCAAACCUUCAUUUGAAUUGUAACUUUCAAGAUGAUUGUCAAUACCUUAAUUCUCUGCCGUUCCCAAUCUGUUGAAGUAGUGAAAUUGUUUCAUUUUCACUCCAUUUGUCAUCUCCAAGCCUGAAUGCUUGAAACCACAGUGAGCAAAACAGUUCUGAAUUGUCUUGCUGCUAAUUUAUCACCAACUGUCAGUGACAAAAAUCACUGCCUUUUGAACACAAACACACACAACUGACAUUAUUUGAAAACCAUAUGCUCAAAGCAUGGUACAGUGUGUAAUGGUGGUUCGAGUGCACGCGACUGAUGCUAGUUGGAAACUGUUUGGCAACAGCCUCCUGUCCCAAUUAAGAGGCAUAGUGUCCCAAAUAAACAAAGGGAUUCCAGGCUAUUUUCUUGAUUUAGUUUCAGUUCUUUAGAAGUUGCUUCAAAUAAGCGUCUGCCCCGAUUAACUGAUAGCCCAAUUAACUAGAAUCCUCUGUAUACCUUGUUUGCAUGAUAGAAUAGUUAGAAUAGUUUGGUAAUGAGUUCCACAUUGAUUAUUGCUGUUAGACUCUUGUUAGUAGUUUUAAUGUGUGGAAUUGUAGCCACAUUAUAGCUCAAUAUUUUGUUUCCUGCUCUGUUGUAACUUUUCGUCCCCUGAGGUUGUAAGCUACUUUGCCUCUUUUCUGAGGAAAGGAGGCAUCUUGAAUCAUUUACAGCUGUCUCAGUUGUGUUGAUUAUUGGCUGCUCUCCUGGUGUUCACUUACUUUGAGGCAGAAAGUCAUGAGUUCAAGUCCAAUUCUAUUUAUAAAUGUUAUCCAACCUGAUGCUCCUGGGUGUAAUUAGAACCAGUAAUAGUUCAAAGUAAAUUUAUUAUCAAAGUACAUACUAUAUAUGUCACCAUACACCACUGUGAGAUUCAUUUUCUUGUGGGUAUUCACAGUAAAUAGAAAUAAACACAAUAGAAUCAAUCAAGAACCGUGCUCAACAAGAUGGACCAACAUCUAAUGUACAAAGGACAGCAAACUGUGCAAAUGCAAAAAGAAAAAUAAUAAUAAUAAAUAAAUAAGCCAUGAAAAUCGAGAGCAUGAGAUGGAGAGUCCUUGAAAGUGCGUCCAUUGGUUGUAGGACAGUUCAGUGAUGGGCCGAGUGAAGUUAUGCUCUGUGGUACAAGAGCCUGAAGGUUGAUGAAUAAUGACUUGAACAUGUAUCACUGCCCUGAUGGCAACAGUGAGAAGAGAACGUGGCCUGGAUGGUGGGGGUCCUUCACAAUGGCUGCUGCUCUCCUGCAACAGCGCUCCCUGUAAAUGCUCUCAAUAGUCACCUCAAUAGCUGGGAUCAACCAGCUACACCUGACAAAAAUCUGAGUCUUGUGGGGAACUGGGACUAACUCAAGUAGAGAAAUAAUCUUCUGGAAGAACUGAGCGGGUGAAGCAGCAGCUGUAGGAGGAAAGGAAUUGUUAACGUUUCAGGUCGAACCCCUGCGUCAGCUUCUUUUCCUGCUUUUUUGAGUUCUUUCAGCAGAUUUCUGGGCAGUUCUAACAUCUGCAAUCUCUUCUCUCCAGUGGAGAACCUGGUUGGCAGGGACAACCACAAAACAAAAACCAAAGAAAACAAGAAAGGAGCGGCCAAAAACCAGAAAGACAUCAUAACGUGAACUGCAGAGUCCAAUUCAUGAACCACUUUGAUCAAACCUUGCACAAGACGCAAAUCCUCCAACAGCAUCGAGGUUGAGGGAGAGAGACCAGCUCGAUGCAGGGACCUUCCUCUGGGAGCGGUGAGUGAGAGAGAGAGACUGAGACUCACGCAGAAACCUUCUUCUGGCAGCAGCGAGUGAGAUGCUGGUAGACAACACUGAACACUCACUCGCCUUCUGCACUCGCCUCAAUGAUUUCUAUCUUCCUCGGCACUUCAAUCAUCAGGAAAUGGAGUCGAUUGUGGGCUGCUUGGCCUCAAGGCCACACGCCUCACGGGUCACCCUUGGACAGGGCCCACAACUGGUGCAACAUUUCUGGUUCCGACGUAGCACGCCCACCACUUACAAACCCUAACCUGUACAUCUUUGGAAUGUGAGAGGAAACCCACACAGAGAACGAACAAACUCCUUAAAGACAAUAGCAGGAAUUGAACUCUGAUUGGUAAUCACUGGUGCUGUAAAGUGCUGCGCUAAUCGCAACAAUACCAUGGGCAACUGCCUCGGUAUGUACAGUGAAGGUGACUGCUCCUCACUCACUGAAUGUGCCUCGGUAGAACCUGGCCUUCUUCCUGAGGUGGUGGUGCUAGGGUUAUGGUCAUAGAACACGGUCCCGGCCAACCAUCAAGCAGCCAUUUACAGUCAGCAAAAAACUGCUGCAGGAAGUGGGCAGUUCAGUUAGGAUCUGUGCAUGCAAGGAGAUGGCUGACAUUUUGGGUCAAGACUCUUUUUAAUAAAAGUCACAAUUUAUAUUUGUCUUGUACAAGUUCCAUUUCAAGAUGUUCAAGAUUGUUUAAUGUUAAUCCCUGUACACAAGUGUAAAGGAGAACAAAAUAAUUAUUACCCUAGAUUCGAUGCAGUACAAAAAACCACUAAGGUAAAAUACAAUAAUUGUUUUUUUAGAAACACAAUAAAUAUAAAUAUCCAUCGACACAAGAAAGUCUGCAGAUGCUGGAAAUCCAAAGCAACAGACACAAAUGCUGGGAGAACUCAGCAGGCCAGGCAGCUGAGUUCACGAGAAAAGAGCUAACAGUUGAUGUUUUGGGCUAAAACCCUUCAUCAGGACUGGGUGAAGGGUUUCAGCCCAUAGCAUCAACUGCUGUUUUCUAUAGGUGCUGCUUGGCCUGCUGAGUUCCUCCAGCAUUUUGUAUGAAUACCCAAGGACUCUUCAUCUGAUGUUCUCGAUAUUUAUUGCUUAUUUAUUAUUAUUAUUUCUUUUUGUAUUUGUACAGUUGUCUUUUGCAAACUGGUUGAACACCCAUGUUGGUGUGGUCUUUCAUUAAUUCUAGUAAAAUUAUUAUUCUAUUAUGCAUUUUUAUGUACUUUGAAAAUAAAUUUACUUUGAACUUUGAAAUACAUACUUGUAUACUUUAUGCACUUAACCAUUUCCUCACAUCUCUGUUCACUGUCACAAGAUUCUACCCAGAGCAUGGGACAAUUUACCCAAGUUAAAUAACCUACUAAACUGCACUUUAUUUUAGGAAAGCAGGGCACCGGGAGAAAACCCCACCCAGAAAUGUGGAGAACGCGUAAACUCCACACGGAAACACCUGAGGUGGGAAUUGAACGCGGAUCACUGCAGCAUGAGGCAAAGUCUCUACCAGCUCUGUUUACAAAUCCCUCUUUGGAUAAACUGGUUUCUAUUACAAAAGUGACAACUCUUCAGAAGCCCCUGAAACACCUCGUUUUUUUUUUACAACAUUCAGGUAAAAUUAUAAAAGCCACAUAAUUGCAAGUCACCUUCUCUUCGGCUGCAUGUCCUCAGUUAGGUAACGUGAUAGCCGAAGGUUUUCAUCUGACCUCUGUGCGUGUGUCAACAUUGCUAUUGUGUUGAGGAGCAAGCAUAUCUUCUGCAGUGCAUUUUUCUGGAUAGAUAUCAGAACCAGAUAAUUGGAGAUUAGAUACAGUGAAUAGAGAGGUCUUCCACGUAACACAUGAUUCAAGCAUCACACCACUCAGCUUUAAAGCAAAAGGCAAAAAAAAAAUACAAAAGGGAACGAUUCUUUUAUUAAUUGCAGGGAGUAGCAGUGAUCUGAAAUGGUUACCACCCCACAACCAUCAGGCUUCUGAACCGGCAUGGGUAACAUCACUCACCUCAGCACUGAACUGAUUUCACAACCUAUGGGCUUGCUUUCAGAGACUCUCAUGUUCUCAAUAUUAUUUAUUUACUUGCAUUUUUAUUUUAUUCUUUUUGUAUUUGCACGGGUUGCCUUUGUUUGCACAUUGGUUGUUUGUCAAAGUUCAAGGUAAAUUUAUUAUUGAAGUACAUAUACAAAGGGUGAUUGAUAAGUUUGUGGCCUAAGGUAGAAGGAAUCAAUUUUAGA